AAUCUGCGAUAAGCGUCGGUAAGGUGAUAUGAACCGUUAUAACCGGCGAUUUCCGAAUGGGGAAACCCAGUGUGUUUCGACACACUAUCAUUAACUGAAUCCAUAGGUUAAUGAGGCGAACCGGGGGAACUGAAACAUCUAAGUACCCCGAGGAAAAGAAAUCAACCGAGAUUCCCCCAGUAGCGGCGAGCGAACGGGGAGGAGCCCAGAGCCUGAAUCAGUGUGUGUGUUAGUGGAAGCGUCUGGAAAGGCGCGCGAUACAGGGUGACAGCCCCGUACACAAAAAUGCACAUAUUGUGAGCUCGAUGAGUAGGGCGGGACACGUGGUAUCCUGUCUGAAUAUGGGGGGACCAUCCUCCAAGGCUAAAUACUCCUGACUGACCGAUAGUGAACCAGUACCGUGAGGGAAAGGCGAAAAGAACCCCGGCGAGGGGAGUGAAAAAGAACCUGAAACCGUGUACGUACAAGCAGUGGGAGCACGCUUAGGCGUGUGACUGCGUACCUUUUGUAUAAUGGGUCAGCGACUUAUAUUCUGUAGCAAGGUUAACCGAAUAGGGGAGCCGAAGGGAAACCGAGUCUUAACUGGGCGUUAAGUUGCAGGGUAUAGACCCGAAACCCGGUGAUCUAGCCAUGGGCAGGUUGAAGGUUGGGUAACACUAACUGGAGGACCGAACCGACUAAUGUUGAAAAAUUAGCGGAUGACUUGUGGCUGGGGGUGAAAGGCCAAUCAAACCGGGAGAUAGCUGGUUCUCCCCGAAAGCUAUUUAGGUAGCGCCUCGUGAAUUCAUCUCCGGGGGUAGAGCACUGUUUCGGCAAGGGGGUCAUCCCGACUUACCAACCCGAUGCAAACUGCGAAUACCGGAGAAUGUUAUCACGGGAGACACACGGCGGGUGCUAACGUCCGUCGUGAAGAGGGAAACAACCCAGACCGCCAGCUAAGGUCCCAAAGUCAUGGUUAAGUGGGAAACGAUGUGGGAAGGCCCAGACAGCCAGGAUGUUGGCUUAGAAGCAGCCAUCAUUUAAAGAAAGCGUAAUAGCUCACUGGUCGAGUCGGCCUGCGCGGAAGAUGUAACGGGGCUAAACCAUGCACCGAAGCUGCGGCAGCGACGCUUAUGCGUUGUUGGGUAGGGGAGCGUUCUGUAAGCCUGCGAAGGUGUGCUGUGAGGCAUGCUGGAGGUAUCAGAAGUGCGAAUGCUGACAUAAGUAACGAUAAAGCGGGUGAAAAGCCCGCUCGCCGGAAGACCAAGGGUUCCUGUCCAACGUUAAUCGGGGCAGGGUGAGUCGACCCCUAAGGCGAGGCCGAAAGGCGUAGUCGAUGGGAAACAGGUUAAUAUUCCUGUACUUGGUGUUACUGCGAAGGGGGGACGGAGAAGGCUAUGUUGGCCGGGCGACGGUUGUCCCGGUUUAAGCGUGUAGGCUGGUUUUCCAGGCAAAUCCGGAAAAUCAAGGCUGAGGCGUGAUGACGAGGCACUACGGUGCUGAAGCAACAAAUGCCCUGCUUCCAGGAAAAGCCUCUAAGCAUCAGGUAACAUCAAAUCGUACCCCAAACCGACACAGGUGGUCAGGUAGAGAAUACCAAGGCGCUUGAGAGAACUCGGGUGAAGGAACUAGGCAAAAUGGUGCCGUAACUUCGGGAGAAGGCACGCUGAUAUGUAGGUGAAGUCCCUUGCGGAUGGAGCUGAAAUCAGUCGAAGAUACCAGCUGGCUGCAACUGUUUAUUAAAAACACAGCACUGUGCAAACACGAAAGUGGACGUAUACGGUGUGACGCCUGCCCGGUGCCGGAAGGUUAAUUGAUGGGGUCAGCGCAAGCGAAGCUCUUGAUCGAAGCCCCGGUAAACGGCGGCCGUAACUAUAACGGUCCUAAGGUAGCGAAAUUCCUUGUCGGGUAAGUUCCGACCUGCACGAAUGGCGUAAUGAUGGCCAGGCUGUCUCCACCCGAGACUCAGUGAAAUUGAACUCGCUGUGAAGAUGCAGUGUACCCGCGGCAAGACGGAAAGACCCCGUGAACCUUUACUAUAGCUUGACACUGAACAUUGAGCCUUGAUGUGUAGGAUAGGUGGGAGGCUUUGAAGUGUGGACGCCAGUCUGCAUGGAGCCGGCCUUGAAAUACCACCCUUUAAUGUUUGAUGUUCUAACGUGGACCCGUGAUCCGGGUUGCGGACAGUGUCUGGUGGGUAGUUUGACUGGGGCGGUCUCCUCCUAAAGAGUAACGGAGGAGCACGAAGGUUGGCUAAUCCUGGUCGGACAUCAGGAGGUUAGUGCAAUGGCAUAAGCCAGCUUGACUGCGAGCGUGACGGCGCGAGCAGGUGCGAAAGCAGGUCAUAGUGAUCCGGUGGUUCUGAAUGGAAGGGCCAUCGCUCAACGGAUAAAAGGUACUCCGGGGAUAACAGGCUGAUACCGCCCAAGAGUUCAUAUCGACGGCGGUGUUUGGCACCUCGAUGUCGGCUCAUCACAUCCUGGGGCUGAAGUAGGUCCCAAGGGUAUGGCUGUUCGCCAUUUAAAGUGGUACGCGAGCUGGGUUUAGAACGUCGUGAGACAGUUCGGUCCCUAUCUGCCGUGGGCGCUGGAGAACUGAGGGGGGCUGCUCCUAGUACGAGAGGACCGGAGUGGACGCAUCACUGGUGUUCGGGUUGUCAUGCCAAUGGCACUGCCCGGUAGCUAAAUGCGGAAGAGAUAAGUGCUGAAAGCAUCUAAGCACGAAACUUGCCCCGAGAUGAGUUCUCCCUGACCCUUUAAGGGUCCUGAAGGAACGUUGAAGACGACGACGUUGAUAGGCCGGGUGUGUAAGCGCAGCGAUGCGUUGAGCUAACCGGUACUAAUGAACCGUGAGGCUUAACCUU
rnacentral:rRNA from 1 species